AAAUGUUGGAACAUCUUGUAUUUGAGGUUCUCAACUUUAAAUGCCGAAACGGUAGACGCACCACUUUUCUGUGUGAAGCGAGUGAACGACCGAAGAGUGAGGCCGACCGUCACUCACAAGUGCGGUUCCAGAGUGGGACACGGUGGUCAUCCGAAGCAAAGUGAAUUGAAACUAAAGCCUAGCAUUCCUCAUCUUCCAUUCCCGACGCCCGCCAUCAAUCUGCUAUCAAGUUAUCCAUGCCGAGAAUAACUGAGAGCCAGAGAGGACGGCCUGAACCAAGGCUAAUACUUUCAGGCAUCAUCGGCAACAUGCAUAGAAAGCUCAAAAAACAUAAACGUGAAAAAGACAACCAUGGAAGAAAGUAGAUUUGACUCACGGAAACGCUAGGCUGUUUAAUAAAAACUGUGAAGCGGUACCAGAGGGGAACUUGAUUUCAACUGAUAGAACACAUUCACAUUACUGUGCUCUUUUUUUUUUUUCAGCAAAAAAGGGCUAGUGGUGCAUCCCUAAUUUGCAUGGUAAUAUGUCAUUUAUUGUUGUAACAGUGAUAUAUGUGUGACUCUCUGUAAAAUAAACCUAUCAAAAGUUGUUACCCGGCUCAUUUUUCACCUACAACUACCAGCCCCUGGACAAUUUUGAAGGGGGGGAGGGGGGAAAGUGAAAAAAAAAACAAGUGGGAUUUACCUCGUCGAAGUCAUCUGCAUAGUUCGAGGGGAAAACUUCUGCGCCCAUAAUUCUCCAUGAGACAUGCAAAUACAUCAUCUCCUCCCAAGCUCCCCCACCCCUGUUUGCCACAAACAGGAAGCGAAAAAAAACAAGCACAUAAAAAAAGGCAAACUGUGUCUUAUAUUUCACUAUUCUGGCGGGGGAAAGCUGUUUGGCCAGACAUUUGCUCAUGAAUAUUUAGGCGGCAUGGGGUAUGAAUAUGCAUCAGGACGUUGGAGAAGCGCUAUCACAACACAGAUUUAUGAGCUAGCUUAAGAAAUAAUGAUAAAAGGCGGAGAUAACCUGGCUACUUGUGUGAGGGGAAAAAGAACACACAGAGCUAAACAGAAACCAACAUUUUUGUUCAAAGGCUUUUUAAUCCCCCGUUUGGUCCCAAAAACGAUAUAGAAUACAGCCACUUUGAACAAGACAACGAAAUCAAACAGAGCUUAACUUCCAUUGGGAAAUUAUAUAAAAUGGCAUUUCUGUCAUUUUCAGGGCAUGACUGUGCGGUUUGUCUCUUCUUUGCCCCUGAGGUACACUGAGAAGGAGAGUGUCACAAUCUUUUUUAUCUGUGCAAUGCAGUACCUUUAUGUGUGUGUGUGUGUGUGUGUGUGUCAUGUGUGCAUGUGUGCUGCCUCUUAAAGUGUGUCAACAGUGAUAACACACCUUUCUGCCCACCCCGGGGUUGCAGAGAUAUCACAAUCUGUUGCCUCAGGUGAAGGAAAAGCCAGAAGAAGAAGAAGCAGAGAAGGAGACACAUACAAAAAAGAAAAAUACUGAAUAUUCCCUGCAGGACAGAGUUGAAGAUUGGAUUGGGCACCAUGCUGGAACCUCAGGGAUACAAUUUCAUUUUGAAGAGAAGUUUUUUGUUGUGUAUAGUUAUAAUUUUCAGGUUAGUAAAAGUGCCGCAGCUACUGCAGCACAUUCAACAUAUUCAUUUCAUUAGAGCAGUACGGGGCGGUCACUUUGAAUAAGCAGAAUGCUAAAUUAAGCAUGAGAAUUCUUUGGCAACCUUAAAACGCACUGACAGACAUGCCGUUACCUCAACAUUCAUGUCUACAUACUAAGGCAAUGCAUUUGGAUUUACUCCAUGGGGCCCACAUUAAAAACCACUUUUAAAUUAUGUAACAUAGCUAAUUAUACUCUUAGCAAUGUUGGUUAGAAAAAGGAACUUUCCACUUCAUUUUCCAUGCAUAUGAGUCACUGUGAAAUCAUUUGACUUGGCUUAUGCAACCUUGUUAGCGGCGUCGGAUGUGACCUCCCCUCCAAAAAUGUCAGAGGAAUUAAAAUUUGACUUUCAAAAAAAAUCUUUUAAAGUAUGCUGAUCAAACAUGGCAGCUGUGCAAAGCAACCCUCCACUAGUAGACGUGCAGAGAGGAAUUACGGCUACAGCCCUGAAUGAUUCUGAGCCUUGUUAGGGACCCCUUUUUCACAAUUAUCACAGAUCUGUCUGGUCUCUGUUGUUUUGAGUGUAGGACGAGUGUCAGUGUUAGUUUUCCCCCAGGUCUCUGCUGGUAUGGUUUCUGGCUGUCCAAGUGCUGCUCCAUACUGAAAGGCAGGGGCAUAAUUACAACAGGGGAUGGGGGUCUCGCUCAAGACUAACAAACCCCUUUUUGUUUCUUGCUGUACAGAGAACACAGUGGUGCUCAAAGCAGCGGGCUUAACAAGCAACAGCAAGUGAUGCGGCAAAUGUUUGUGGACCAAUUUGGCUGGAGUUUGGCCUUUCAGCUGACAUACAGGACACCUCAUUUAAAUGUACCUGCAGACACAACUCAGGGGUGAAAAAUAGUCUCAACUGCAGCUUAAAGAAACUUCUCAGCUAUUU